rnacentral:rRNA from 1 species
UACGAAGGGGGCUAGCGUUGUUCGGAAUUACUGGGCGUAAAGCGCACGUAGGCGGAUAUUUAAGUCAGGGGUGAAAUCCCAGAGCUCAACUCUGGAACUGCCUUUGAUACUGGGUAUCUAGAGUAUGGAAGAGGUGAGUGGAAUUCCGAGUGUAGAGGUGAAAUUCGUAGAUAUUACGGAGGAACACCAGUGGCGAAGGCGGCUCACUGGUCCAUUACUGACGCUGAGGUGCGAAAGCGUGGGGAGCAAACAGG